AGCGCCCCCUUGACCGGUCUCGGCACCGGCAGCAUUAAUAAAACUCCAAGGCAGAGGAAGCGACCUCCUUUGACGUCAAAAACACGCGCUGUGGUGGCCGCGACACCGGCGCCGCUGAGCGAGCGCGAGGAGCUGCAGCGCCGGCAGCAGAGGCUCGGCCAGGCCGGCGACGCCAACAACAAAAUUAACAAGAAGAAAAAACUUCACAUUUGAAGAACAUGAUCCAUGACUUGAAUGAUACAGUUUAUUUCUGCUUUUGUACUAUCUCCAAUAUUAAAGAAGAAAAAGCUUCACAUUUGAAGAACUUAAGAUUUAAACCUACUGAUGUGUCGUGGCGAUCCAUGACUUGAAUGAUACAGUUUAUCUCUGCAUUUGAACUAUCUUGGGUGUUAAAGAAGAAAAAGCUUCACAUAUGAAGAACAGGAGACAUGACUUGAAUGAUACAGUUUAUUUCUGCGUUUGGGUAUUUUUAUCUCGGGUAUUUUUAAAAUAUAGUUCGUUAAAUUAACUGCACCAAUCAUCUGAUACUGCUACACACAUAAUGGCUGCAGAAAUUCUGGUUCAUCGACACCACCAUUUCUUAUGUGAACAAAAAAAUCUUUUCAUUAACUUCGUCCCUCUUCCUAAUUCAACCCUGAACAAAAUCAGGUUCUCCUAAAUAUUUUAUAGAGGCCGUCAUACACACAAGACUCUUUUACCUGUUCGUAACAAGCCUGAGAAUUCGUAACAUUACAGCGGCUCAUCUACGGGAGUUGGGAGAAACAAAUUACACGUCACUUGACAUCAACAUCAAGAUCUCUGUUUCAUACGAACACAACUGAACAAAUUACACAUCACUUGACAU